UGGGGAAUAUUGCACAAUGGGGGAAACCCUGAUGCAGCGACGCCGCGUGAGUGAAGAAGUAUUUCGGUAUGUAAAGCUCUAUCAGCAGGGAAGAAAAUGACGGUACCUGACUAAGAAGCCCCGGCUAACUACGUGCCAGCAGCCGCGGUAAUACGUAGGGGGCAAGCGUUAUCCGGAUUUACUGGGUGUAAAGGGAGCGUAGACGGCUGGAUCAGUCUGAUGUGAAAGCCCGGGGCUCAACCCCGGGACUGCAUUGGAAACUGUCCAGCUAGAGUGCAGGAGAGGUAAGUGGAAUUCCUAGUGUAGCGGUGAAAUGCGUAGAUAUUAGGAGGAACACCAGUGGCGAAGGCGGCUUACUGGACUGUAACUGACGUUGAGGCUCGAAAGCGUGGGGAGCAAACAGGAUUAGAUACCCUGGUAGU
rnacentral:rRNA from 1 species